AGUGUGUGGAGAAAAUAGUUAAUCAAAGAAAGAUGGCUGACAAUUCCCAGGCUCAGAACCUCAGCUACAAAGCUGGCGAGACCAAGGCCCAUGCUCAGAUGAACAAGGACCAGAUGAUGGAUAAGGCAGCCAACGCUGUCAAUUCUGCCAAGCAAUCAUGUCAAGAGACUGGUCAGCAAAUGAAAGCCAAGGCAGAAGGAGCCACGGAUGCAGUCAAGA